rnacentral:rRNA from 1 species
UGUAAGAACUGGAAGCUUCUGGAAAGUUGCGCCGCAGCGGGUGAUAGCCCCGUACAGGUAGAAAUCAGAUUUAUCCUCGAGUAGGGCGGGACACGUGAAAUCCUGUCUGAACGUGGGGGGACCACCCUCCAAGCCUAAAUACUCCUUACUGACCGAUAGUGAACAAGUACCGUGAGGGAAAGAUGAAAAGAACCCCGAUAAGGGGAGUGAAAUAGAACUUGAAACCAUGCACUUACAAUCGGUGGAAGCGUUAUUGUAAAGCGUGACCACGUACCUUUUGCAUUAUGAGCCAUCGAGUUACGAUGUGUAGCAAGGUUAAGCCUUUAGGUGUAGCCGUAGGGAAACCGAGUCUGAAUAGGGCGAUUAGUUGCAUGUCGUAGACCCGAAACGGGAUGAGCUUACCAUGGGCAGGUUGAAGCGAGGGUAAAACCUCGUGGAGGACCGAACCCGUUAAGGUUGAAAACUUUUGGGAUGACCUGUGGUAAGGGGUGAAAGGCCAAUCAAAUUCCGUGAUAGCUGGUUCUCUCCGAAAUGCAUUUAGGUGCAGCGUCUAAUGAAUACCGUCGGGGGUAUAGCACUGAAUUGGCUAGGGGGCUUACCGGCUUACCAAACCAUAUCAAACUCAGAAUACCGACGAGUACUAUUAGGCAGUGAGACUGCGGAUG